rnacentral:lncRNA from 1 species
ACGAAAUUUAAAGUAACAUCAUGAAAUUCUAAUUUGCACCAUCUGUUGAUAAUUACCUAUUCCCUAGCUCAUCAGAUGUGAAAGGCUGAGGGUAGAGAGCAGAGAUGUAUAUGCUUGUUGCAUGCCACUCAGAGAUCUAUUCAUAACAGGGAGAAUCUGCUGGUGCUGAACAAGAACUCAAAGUAGUUUGGGAGCGUUAACAGAAAUAGCAGCCAUGAUCUACCAUAUUAUCACCAAACGCAUGAAAGAGGAAUGUCUGUCUCCCUGUACUUUGCAAAAACUGUGGACAGGUGCUGAAGAGCAUUGUAAUUCCAGAUAUUUGUUACUUCCCCCCUGUUGGCAGCAACAGUCUAAAAGCCCAGCGGAUGGACUUGUUCCCAUGAAUACUUCCUAACCUGCUUCAAACAGAAAUCAUCUGUAUUAGUCUGAAGAGUUUGAAUGAGAAGCACCCACAUAAUUCUUAUUGUUGGCAGAGUUGAGAGGGUAGCACCUCUGAGCAGUGUGUUGAGGAUUAGAUUUGGGGGCUUCUGCUUAUAAGAAUGAACAUUUAUCUUCUCUUUGUUCAGCUUAAUCCUAUGUUCUGAGCACCAGGAGCAGUUAGUAUGACUGCUAAUAUCAGUUCUAAAAAAAAAAAGUUCCACCUUUGAACAUUUUUUCAGCCAUCUUGGCAUUCUUAAAAGGAACUUAAAUUUAGUACUACUUAACAAUCAGGAGAGUUUUUCAACAUGCCCAUGACUUUUCUUAGUUAAGAGGCAUUUCUUUUAUAUAUAUAUAUUUUUGUGUGAUCAAAACAAAAUCUAUGUAAAAAAAGAAAUCUUGACUAUGCUACUGUAGCAGCAUUGAUAGCUCUGUAUCUGUGAGAGGAACUCCAGUUUAGAAAAUUUUUGCACUAAAUAUCAUGUAAAUCCAAUAAGAGCUAUGUAAACUAAAGAAAAAUAAUCGUGUUAACACCUUAAGGGACUCUUGUACCAGGAAAGAUACAAAAACUUUCCUCAUAUCUGAGGACAGGGAAUGUGAAAGCAACUACCGACAGUUGAAGGUGAAAGAAAGUAUAUUCUUUCUGUUUACUUACCCUUGGUAGAGUUUAAAUUGUUUCAAGAUGAAAGAGUUUUUGUUGGAAUUGAGCUGAUUUAAAUCUGUUUGCUCUGCUGCUGCUCUUUUUAUAGCAUCUGUAACAUUAGCUUCUGCUCAGGUAACUGUUUGCUAAUGGGCAAUAGACCACCAGCUAAUUCCAGAAAGAACAAAGACAGAUAUUGUACAAUCAAUAUUCAGGUAGAGAUGUACUGAUUCUCAAUUUUCUGCUCCUGCCAUUCACUAGAGAAACUACUCAGUCUGCAGCCAAACCACCUUGAUGUUGACAAUCUCUCAAGCUAAACAAGGGUGGGUCUGUUCAA